rnacentral:rRNA from 1 species
AGUCGAACGCAGUAGCAAUACUGAGUGGCAGACGGGUGAGUAUAAUGUGGGAAUCUGCCUUUUGGUUCGGAAUAACACGAGGAAACUUGUGCUAAUACCGGAUAAGCCUUUACAGGGAAAGUUUUAAUGCCAAAAGAUGAGCCCGCACUUGAUUAGCUAGUUGGUAAGGUAAUGGCUUACCAAGGCAACGAUCAAUAGCUGUUCUUAGAGGAAGACCAGCCACAUUGGGACUGAGACACGGCCCAGACUCC